rnacentral:rRNA from 1 species
AGAAGGGAGCUUCUCCCGGAUGUUACGCGGCGGGUGAGUAACACGUGGGUAACCUGCCUGUAAGACUGGGAUAACUCCGGGAAACCGGAGCUAAUACCGGAUAGUUCCUUGAACCGCAUGGUUCAAGGAUGAAAGACGGUUUCGGCUGUCACUUACAGAUGGACCCGCGGCGCAUUAGCUAGUUGGUGGGGUAAUGGCUCACCAAGGCGACGAUGCGUAGCCGACCUGAGAGGGUGAUCGGCCACACUGGGACUGAGACACGGCCCAGACUCCUACGGGAGGCAGCAGUAGGGAAUCUUCCGCAAUGGACGAAAGUCUGACGGAGCAACGCCGCGUGAGUGAUGAAGGUUUUCGGAUCGUAAAGCUCUGUUGUUAGGGAAGAACAAGUGCGAGAGUAACUGCUCGCACCCUGACG